rnacentral:tRNA from 1 species
UAGAAUGUGGUGUAGUUUGGUAGCACGAGGAAUUUUGAGUUCUUAAUUAUAGGUUCGAGUCCUAUUGUUCUAG